UCGGGAAUUUUGGGCAAUGGGCGAAAGCCUGACCCAGCAACGCCGCGUGAAGGAUGAAGUAUUUCGGUAUGUAAACUUCGUAAGAAUAGGAAGAAUAAAUGACGGUACUAUUUGUAAGGUCCGGCUAACUACGUGCCAGCAGCCACGGUAAUACGUAGGGACCAAGCGUUGUUCGGAUUUACUGGGCGUAAAGGGCGCGUAGGCGGUGUGUCAAGUCAGUUGUGAAAUCUCCGAGCUUAACUCGGAACGGUCAACUGAUACUGUCACACUAGAGUACAGAAGGGGCAAUCGGAAUUCUUGGUGUAGCGGUGAAAUGCGUAGAUAUCAAGAGGAACACCUGAGGCGAAGGCGGGUUGCUGGGCUGAUACUGACGCUGAGGCGCGAAAGCUAGGGUAGCAAACAGGAUUAGAUACCCAUGUAGUCCCUGAGCGGGCUGGCAAGGCGCAU
rnacentral:rRNA from 1 species